rnacentral:rRNA from 1 species
ACUCCUACGGGAGGCAGCAGUGGGGAAUAUUGCACAAUGGGCGGAAGCCUGAUGCAGCGACGCCGCGUGAGGGAUGACGGCCUUCGGGUUGUAAACCUCUUUCAGUAGGGAAGAAGCGAAAGUGACGGUACCUGCAGAAGAAGCGCCGGCUAACUACGUGCCAGCAGCCGCGGUAAUACGUAGGGCGCAAGCGUUAUCCGGAUUUAUUGGGCGUAAAGAGCUCGUAGGCGGUUUGUCGCGUCUGCCGUGAAAGUCCGAGGCUCAACCUCGGAUCUGCGGUGGGUACGGGCAGACUAGAGUGAUGUAGGGGAGACUGGAAUUCCUGGUGUAGCGGUGAAAUGCGCAGAUAUCAGGAGGAACACCGAUGGCGAAGGCAGGUCUCUGGGCAUUUACUGACGCUGAGGAGCGAAAGCAUGGGGAGCGAACAGGAUUAGAUACCCUGGUAGUCCAUGCCGUAAACGUUGGGCACUAGGUGUGGGGGACAUUCCACGUUUUCCGCGCCGUAGCUAACGCAUUAAGU